UUUCUCUGAGGAGGAGAGCUCUCUGUAGCUUGACAAAUCUGAACCGUCCACCAACAGAAGUUGGUUCAAUAGAAGAUAUUACCUCACCCACCUUGUUUUUCUCAUAUCCUGGGACCAACAUGGCUACAACACCACAG